rnacentral:lncRNA from 1 species
AUAGUUCCUUAUAAACAUAUAGAAUAAAAAAGAUAUUUUUACAAAAUUUAAUAUUUUAUUUUUUUCCUAUAAAAAUUUUAUUAUUUUUAAAUAUAUCCUUAUUUUUAGAAUUCGUUAGAAAAAUAUAGUUAAUCGUGAGUAAACUACUUAGUCUUGGUUAGCGAAUAAGUUAAAUUGAACUUUUUACUUUCUUGUAUUAUUGGAUAAAAUAAUUUUUUUGAAAAUAUUUCUAGACUUUUGAAGGGAUAUAUUUGUAAGGAUGAAAAUAUUAUUUCACUUAACUGUUGUUAAGAAAUAAAUAGUGCUCUAAUGCUAACAAACCGGAGAAAUAAAUAUGAAUAUCGCUGAACUUUUAUAAUAAUGAAAAUAAAAAAUUAAACUUCAUAGAAACAUAUUUGCUAUUCAAUAUAUUUACAUAAAGCUGUAUGCAAUUGACUCUUAUUAAUCGGCUCUCUCUGGAUGAUGAUUUGAGAGAAAUAGUGAGAGAGAGAUAAAAAUUAAACAUAAAUUUUAUAUAAAUAUAUUUACUAUUUAAUAUAUUUAUAGAAUGCUGUAUGCAAUUAACUCUUAUUAAUUGACUCUCCUUCGAUGAUUCAAGAGAGGUAGUGAGAGAGAGAGAGAUAAAAAUUAAAAAUAAACUUUAUAUGAAUAUAUUUACUAUUAUAUUUACUUGAAGCUGUAUGUAAUUAACUCUUAUUAAUUGGCCCUCUCUCCAUGAUUCGAGAGAGAGAGAGAGAGUGAAAAAGAGGUAAAAAUAAAAAUAAAUUUUAUAUAAAUAUAUUUAUUAUUCAAUAUAUUUAUAGAAAACUGUAUGCAAUUAACUCUUAUUAAUUGACUCUCUUUCGAUGAUUCGAGAGAGAUAG